rnacentral:rRNA from 1 species
GCAAUGCCGCGUGCAGGAUGAAGGCCUUCGGGUUGUAAACUGCUUUUGUACGGAACGAAACGGCGAGCUCUAAUACAGUUUGCUAAUGACGGUACCGUAAGAAUAAGCACCGGCUAACUACGUGCCAGCAGCCGCGGUAAUACGUAGGGUGCGAGCGUUAAUCGGAAUUACUGGGCGUAAAGCGUGCGCAGGCGGUGAUGUAAGACAGAUGUGAAAUCCCCGGGCUCAACCUGGGACCUGCAUUUGUGACUGCAUCGCUAGAGUACGGCAGAGGGGGAUGGAAUUCCGCGUGUAGCAGUGAAAUGCGUAGAUAUGCGGAGGAACACCGAUGGCGAAGGCAAUCCCCUGGGCCUGUACUGACGCUCAUGCACGAAAGCGUGGGGAGCAAACAGGAUUAAAUACCCUGGUAGUCCACGCCCUAAACGAUGUCAACUGGUUGUUGGGUCUUCACUGACUCACUAACGAAGC